UGGGGAAUUUUGCACAAUGGGGGAAACCCUGAUGCAGCGACGCCGCGUGAUUUAGAAGGCCUUCGGGUUGUAAAAAUCUUUUCUAUGGGAAGAAAAUGACAGUACCAUAGGAAUAAGGACCGGCUAAUUACGUGCCAGCAGCCGCGGUAAUACGUAAGGUCCGAGCGUUGUCCGGAAUCAUUGGGCGUAAAGGGUACGUAGGCGGGUAAGCAAGUUAGAAGUGAAAUCAUAUAGCUCAACUAUAGUAAGCUUUUAAAACUGCUCAUCUUGAGGUAUGGAAGGGAAAGUGGAAUUCCUAGUGUAGCGGUGAAAUGCGCAGAUAUUAGGAGGAAUACCGGUGGCGAAGGCGACUUUCUGGCCAUAACCUGACGCUGAGGUGCGAAAGCGUGGGUAGCAAACAGG
rnacentral:rRNA from 1 species